AUUGAACGCUGGCGGCAGGCCUAACACAUGCAAGUCGAGCGAGCGGCGGACGGGUGAGUAAUGUAUGGGGACUGCCCGAUAGAGGGGGAUAACUACUGGACACGGUAGCUAAUACCGCAUACUAUCGGAUAACCCAUAUGGGAUUAGCUAGUAGGUGAGGUAAUGGGUCACAUAGGCGACGAUCCCUAGCUGGUCUGCGAGGAUGAUCAGCCACACUGUGACGGAGACGCGGCCCAGACGCCUACGGAGGCAGCAGUGGGGAAUAUUGCACAAUGGGCGCAAGCCUGAUGCAGCCAUGCCGCGUGUAUGAAGAAGGCACUAGUGUUGUAAAGUACUUUCAGUCGGGAGGCGUUACCGACAGAAGAAGCACCGGCUAACUCCGUGCCAGCAGCCGCGGUAGUAG
rnacentral:rRNA from 1 species